UACGGAGGGUGCGAGCGUUGUCCGGAAUCACUGGGCGUAAAGGGCGCGUAGGCGGCGCGGGAAGUCAUCGGUGAAAGUUCAGGGCUCAACUCUGAAUCGGCCGGUGAUACUCUCGUGCUUGAGCACUGUAGAGGCAGGUGGAAUUCCGGGUGUAGCGGUGGAAUGCGUAGAGAUCAGGAGGAACACCGGUGGCGAAGGCGGGUCUCUGGGCAGUAACUGACGCUGAGGAGCGAAAGCGUGGGGAGCGAACAGG
rnacentral:rRNA from 1 species